rnacentral:rRNA from 1 species
UACGUAGGGGGCAAGCGUUGUCCGGAUUUAUUGGGCGUAAAGAGCGUGUAGGCGGCCAGGUAGGUCCGUUGUGAAAACUGGAGGCUUAACCUCCAGCUGUCGAUGGAAACCAUCUGGCUAGAGUCCGGGAGAGGAGAGUGGAAUUCCUGGUGUAGCGGUGAAAUGCGCAGAUAUCAGGAAGAACACCCGUGGCGAAAGCGGCUCUCUGGAACGGUACUGACGCUGAGACGCGAAAGCGUGGGGAGCGAACAGG